UGGGGAAUUUUGCACAAUGGGGGAAACCCUGAUGCAGCGACGCCGCGUGAUUUAGAAGGCCUUCGGGUUGUAAAAAUCUUUUCUAUGGGAAGAAAAUGACAGUACCAUAGGAAUAAGGACCGGCUAAUUACGUGCCAGCAGCCGCGGUAAUACGUAAGGUCCGAGCGUUGUCCGGAAUCAUUGGGCGUAAAGGGUACGUAGGCGGGUAAGCAAGUUAGAAGCGAAAUCCUAUAGCUCAACUAUAGUAAGCUUUUAAAACUGCUCAUCUUGAGGUAUGGAAGGGAAAGUGGAAUUCCUAGUGUAGCGGUGAAAUGCGCAGAUAUUAGGAGGAAUACCGGUGGCGAAGGCGACUUUCUGGCCAUAACCUGACGCUGAGGUACGAAAGCGUGGGUAGCAAACAGG
rnacentral:rRNA from 1 species